rnacentral:rRNA from 1 species
AUUGAACGCUGGCGGCAUGCCUUACACAUGCAAGUCGAACGGCAGCGGGGGAGAAGCUUGCUUUUCCUGCCGGCGAGUGGCGAACGGGUGAGUAAUACAUCGGAACGUGCCCUGUAGUGGGGGAUAACUAGUCGAAAGAUUAGCUAAUACCGCAUACGACCUGAGGGUGAAAGUGGGGGACCGCAAGGCCUCAUGCUAUAGGAGCGGCCGAUGUCUGAUUAGCUAGUUGGUGGGGUAAAGGCCUACCAAGACGACGAUCAGUAGCUGGUCUGGGAGGACGAUCAGCCACACUGGGACUGGGACACGGCCCAGACUCCUACGGGAGGCGGCAGUGGGGAAUUUUGGACAAUGGGCGAAAGCCUGAUCCAGCAAUGCGGCGUGUGUGAAGAAGGCCUUCGGGUUGUAAAGCACUUUUGUCCGGAAAGAAAUGGCUCUGGUUAAUACCUGGGGUCGAUGACGGUACCGGAAGAAUAAGGACCGGCUAACUACGUGCCAGCAGCCGCCGCCG